UGAAAUAAUCCAUUGCUCUUU
ensembl:piRNA 21ur-288 ncRNA